rnacentral:rRNA from 1 species
CCCUUAGAUGUUCUGGGCCGCACGCGCGCUACACUGAUGCAUUCAACGAGCCUAUCCUUGACCGACAGGUCCGGGUAAUCUUUGAAUCUGCAUCGUGACGGGGAUAGAUUAUUGCAAUUAUUAAUCUUCAACGAGGAAUGCCUAGUAGGCGCAAGUCAUCAGCUUGCGUCGAUUACGUCCCUGCCCUUUGUACACACCGCGCGUCGCUCCUACCGAUUGGGUGUGCUGGUGAAAUGUUCGGAUCGGCCGUUUGUCGCGGUUUCCGCGUCAUGUGGCUGAGAAGUUCAUUAAACCCUCCCACCUAGAGGAAGGAGAAGUCGUAACA